CCUACGGGAGGCAGCAGUAGGGAAUCUUCCACAAUGGGCGAAAGCCUGAUGGAGCAACGCCGCGUGUGUGAUGAAGGGUUUCGGCUCGUAAAACACUGUUGUAAGAGAAGAAUGACAUUGAGAGUAACUGCUCAAUGUGUGACGGUAUCUUACCAGAAAGGAACGGCUAAAUACGUGCCAGCAGCCGCGGUAAUACGUAUGUUCCAAGCGUUAUCCGGAUUUAUUGGGCGUAAAGCGAGCGCAGACGGUUAUUUAAGUCU
rnacentral:rRNA from 1 species